rnacentral:lncRNA from 1 species
AAUGGGCUGGCCUAAGUGGCCAGGCCGUUGGGUUUAAGCAUGUGCUGCACGUGUGGGCCGAGAAGAAGAAGACUCCAGUUAGGAGUCUUCCUCCUCCCCCAAUUCUGGUGGACUCCCAGAGUCCUAGGGAGAGCCAAAGAUGGGCUAAAAUCCUAGGAUCUCGUCUACAAAGGAGCAUCUACCUCCUCCUAUGGACUCCACCAUUGAAAUCACACACACAAGCACUGCUGAUUUUCGAACCAUUACCAAGCUAUUCCUCGGAAUUCCAUCGGAAAGGAUGGUCCAAUCAUCCACAAAGCUUCGUCGGACUAAAGUAAUGGGUCAAGCCUCUUCUUCCUCUAGGUUUUCCGGCUCCAUAGCCGUUGCCGCCGUUUGAUUUGGGUCGGCGAGCUGCCAGAAUAACAUGAAUAGGGCAUUUUCUAUUUUCUUCUUCUUUCUUGGUUUUUGCUGACCACCGCCUACAAUGACUCAUUGCUCAAGGCCGUCGCCGUUGCCAUCACUGGAGGCUGCUAUAAGCCGCCGUCCAUCAGCUCUUCCAUGACUCGGUUUGAGGAGAGAGAAAGAGAGAGCCUCCCCUAUUUUGAGAAGAGGAUGAAGGCUUUCUCUCUCCUCUCUUUACUCUUCUCUCUCUUCUCUCUCUAGUUGGGCCAAGGAUUUUGGGGAAGAGAGAUUCAGAGGAUGGGAUGAUAGACCCCUGGCUCUCUCUCUCUCCCCUUUCCCUUUCCUCUCUCUUUUUUUGUUUUCUUUUCCUCUCUUCUCUCUCUUUGCUUGGAUCUAUGGACCUUAGAGGAGGAUCGCACCCUCUUUAAUGGAUGGAAAGAGAGUCUUGAACCUCGCUCAUGGUCAUGCAGUGCAUAAGCCUUACCUAGAGAGUCUUGAACUCCACUUGUAACCAUGCAGCGCAUAAGCAUUACCCUGACCAUUGCCGAGCACCGUUAGAAUCUAUAAUCAUUAGUCCCUAAUGUAUUAUCUAUACUAUAGUCUGAUUCUUAUUUCAUAAGUUAAUUAGUUUGAUUGGUUAGAGCAGACCGAUCCGGAUCAUCGGAUGUUGUUAGCUAAUCGACCAUGUCAUUCCUUCACGGUGACUUUUAACAUAUUAUUUUAUAAAUAUUUUUAUAAAUAUAAAUUUUAAAAUAAUGUCAAAAGUGUGUUCAAAUGA